CGCACUUUGAACGCACGGUCACCGCACUCGCGACACCGCCUCGCCGCGCGCGACCUCCAGAGACCCGUCCUUGUCUCUUCGUCCCCACGCACAUCACACUCCGUCACGCGGUGUUUUUCGCCAUGCGGGAGCAACACGCGUCCCCCCGAACCACGCGGGACCGGCAGCCAUUGCGCGCCGCCUCAUCUGCAUACGCCCCGCCCCGCGUGCCUCCGCCGCUCCACCGGUCUCCCUGGAGGACCCUGAACGUCUGAUCCUGGCUGUGUGCCAUCGUGCACUACUGGGGAUCACACACUCGUCGGGGCUUUGUGCGUGCCAGGCAACCAAGUCUGUCUACCGGUCCAGCUGCACCCUCGGCCCAGCCAACUACUUUCCUUUCGCAUAUAAGCUCGCUACAACCUCCAUCAGUAUACUUGACUACAGUGGCUCGCUCGCGCCUGUAAUCCUAAAUCGCAAAAAAGAGGCCUGCCUGGGGGAGUCCUGAAAGGGUCGUUAGGCAUGGCUGUCACCAACUGUAAGCAGCUUUCAACCGCGGAGCCAUCUUGUGCUCGCCCUCUCACCCCCUCUAACUGACCCCAGGCCGCUGGUAUACACUGAAGGAGCGAGGUCCUUCUUUUCCAUUCUUACUCCCUUCCUUCGCUUCAAUAUUCAGUCCCAGCCUAGCCUGGCACUGUCUCAGCUUGAGUCAUCUUGUGGGGUCUGCAGAGUGACCGACCGUUCGGGUCUAGAGUAUCGACCUGUUUUCGCCAGCUAACACAGCUUCUGCCAGGGAGACCCAUCUGCCAGGAAAUAAAAAAUCAAAGCCCCUGCUCCAAGUCUUCCUCCUCCGCACUGUUCCACAUGCAAAUCAGGCUGAGGCCUGCAGCUAGGGCGGCCGACUUGACUUGAUGCCCCGCCCCGAGGCCACAGUUAGGUGGGCCGCUUCAUAGCAGUGCAGAGAACACAGCUCCCUCCAAAGGCUCCUCUCACAUUCUGGGUGAGAGAAAAAAGCCCUUCCUGUCUGCGGUACUCAGUUUUAGAUACCCUCAGUCGAGGAUAAAUCCCAACAGAGAGCUCUUCACCACCUCUUUAAAUUUUGCUUGCUGUUUCAAAGGAAAAGGAUGCACGUGGGAGACAUGCUCCACCAUACAACCGAGAAGUUCAUUCUCAGCUCCCUUCCGUUCAAAAGCCUUUUUCGUGUUUGUUUGUUUGUUUGUUUGUUAUGUGCUGUUUUGUAACAAGCCUUUUCCCAGGGAGCUGCAUCACACACGUCUACUGACUGUAGAGGGGGAGCACACAGCAGACAAAAGCGUGGGUUCCUUCAGUGUCCAACCUGGUGAGGGGUCACCGACAGGAGCGCAAACGACUCAAAGACAGUUGCAUCUCCGGAGCCUUCCACCGCACGGGAAAGCUCACAAAAGCUGGGAACCUAGAACACAGCCUGCAGGCAGCUGGGGCAGGUUGGAGAGUGUCGGUCCCCUCCAGUGUCUGGGUUGAUCCACACCUCGUCCAGGCGGCCUCCCGUGUUUCUAUUUUCUUCAGGCGGCUGCUCUGCUCCCAGAGACUCCUUUGCAGCCAGCUCCCACGGGG
ensembl:lncRNA